UGCGUAGGCGGCUUGGUAAGUCAGAUGUGAAAUCCUGGGGCUCAACCUCGGAACUGCAUUUGAUACUGCCAGGCUAGAGUACCGGAGAGGAGACUGGAAUUUACGGUGUAGCAGUGAAAUGCGUAGAUAUCGUAAGGAAGGCCAGUGGCGAAGGCGAGUCUCUGGACAGUAACUGACGCUGAGGCACGAAGGCUAGGGGAGCAAACG
rnacentral:rRNA from 1 species